UACAGAGGUCCCGAGCGUUGUUCGGAUUCAUUGGGCGUAAAGGGUGCGUAGGCGGCGGGGUUAGUUUGAUGUGAAAUCCCGGGGCUCAACCCUGGAAUUGCAUUGAAUACUACCUUGCUAGAGUACCGGAGAGGAAACUGGAAUUUACGGUGUAGCAGUGAAAUGCGUAGAUAUCGUAAGGAACACCAGUGGCGAAAGCGAGUCUCUGGAUAGCAACUGACGCUGAAGCACGAAGGCCAGGGGAGCAAACGGG
rnacentral:rRNA from 1 species